rnacentral:rRNA from 1 species
GGCUGAAAUUACGCCUUCCAUGAAGCCGGAAUUGCUAGUAAUGGCAGGUCAGCAUACUGCCGUGAAUACGUUCCCGGGCCUUGUACACACCGCCCGUCACACCAUGAGAGUUGGGAAUACUCGAAGCCUGUGAGCUAACGUAAGAGGCAGCAGUCGAAGGUAGAAUCAAUGAUUGGGGUGAAGUCGUAACAAGGUAUC